rnacentral:rRNA from 1 species
AUGAAUAAAAAACAAAAUCCUUGCCGUUUGGAGCACAAAAUCAAUGGCAUACUCAAAUCACCACGUACUAUAGAUCAUACAAAAAGGAAAUACAACAAUCAUCUAUGGAGAAUUUGCCUAAAAAAAACUAUGGAGCACUCCAUGGCCGGCACGGCAAGCGAUGGCUGGUGCGGCGCGGCGUGCGAGGCGGCGGCGGGUGGUGUCGGGGCUGGCGGGGGCGAUGGGGUCGGGGCCGGGGCCGGCGGGGGCGAUGGGGUCGGAACCGGAGAGGCGCGCGAGGAGACGGGGCAGGAGAGGCGCGCGAGGAGAUGGGGUUGGAGAGGCGCGCGAGGAGACGGGGUCGGCGAGCUGCGGCUGGCCUAG